rnacentral:rRNA from 1 species
CCUACGGGAGGCAGCAGUGGGGAAUUUUGGACAAUGGGCGAAAGCCUGAUCCAGCAAUGCCGCGUGAGUGAAGAAGGCCUUCGGGUUGUAAAGCUCUUUUGUCAGGGAAGAAACGGUGAAGGCUAAUAUCUUUUGCUAAUGACGGUACCUGAAGAAUAAGCACCGGCUAACUACGUGCCAGCAGCCGCGGUAAUACGUAGGGUGCAAGCGUUAAUCGGAAUUACUGGGCGUAAAGCGUGCGCAGGCGGUUUUGUAAGUCUGAUGUGAAAUCCCCGGGCUCAACCUGGGAAUUGCAUUGGAGACUGCAAGGCUAGAAUCUGGCAGAGGGGGGUAGAAUUCCACGUGUAGCAGUGAAAUGCGUAGAUAUGUGGAGGAACACCGAUGGCGAAGGCAGCCCCCUGGGUCAAGAUUGACGCUCAUGCACGAAAGCGUGGGGAGCAAACAGGAUUAGAUACCCUGGUAGUCCACGCCCUAAACGAUGUCUACUAGUUGUCGGGUCUUAAUUGACUUGGUAACGCAGCUAACGCGUGAAGUAGACCGCCUGGGGAGUACGGUCGCAAGAUUAAAACUCAAAGGAAUUGACGG